GACGAACGCUGGCGGUGUGCUUAACACAUGCAAGUCGAACGGUAAGGCCCUUUCGGGGGUACACGAGUGGCGAACGGGUGAGUAACACGUGAGUAACCUGCCCUCAUCUCUGGGAUAACAGUCGGAAACGGUUGCUAAUACUGGAUAUGAGCUUGCAAGGCAUCUUGUGGGUUGGAAAGAUUUUUUUUGGUUGGGGAUGGACUCGCGGCCUAUCAGCUUGUUGGUGAGGUAGUGGCUCACCAAGGCUUCGACGGGUAGCCGGCCUGAGAGGGCGACCGGCCACAUUGGGACUGAGAUACGGCCCAAACUCCUACGGGAGGCAGCAGUGGGGAAUAUUGCACAAUGGACGGAAGUCUGAUGCAGCAACGCCGCGUGCGGGAUGACGGCCUUCGGGUUGUAAACCGCUUUCAUUUGUGACGAAGCUUUUUUGUGACGGUAGCAGUAGAAGAAGCACCGGCUAACUACGUG
rnacentral:rRNA from 1 species